GUGAGUCAUCGAAUCUUUGAACGCACAUUGCGCCCGCCAGUAUUCUGGCGGGCAUGCCUGUCCGAGCGUCAUUUCAACCCUCGAACCCCUCCGGGGGGUCGGCGUUGGGGAUCGGCCCUUUACGGGGCCGGCCCCGAAAUACAGUGGCGGUCUCGCCGCAGCCUCUCCUGCGCAGUAGUUUGCACACUCGCAUCGGGAGCGCGGCGCGUCCAUUGCCGUUAAACACCCAACUUUCUGAAAUGUUGACCUCGGAUCAGGUAGGAAUACCCGCUGAACUUAAGCAUAUCAAUAAGCGGAGGA
rnacentral:misc_RNA from 1 species